rnacentral:rRNA from 1 species
GGCAUGCAUACACAUGCAAGUCGAACGGUAACAGGUUAAGCUGACGAGUGGCGAACGGGUGAGUAAUGUAUCGGAACGUGCCCAGUCGUGGGGGAUAACUACUCGAAAGAGUGGCUAAUACCGCAUACGACCUGAGGGUGAAAGCGGGGGACCGUAAGGCCUCCCGCGAUUGGAGCGGCCGAUAUCAGAUUAGCUAGUUGGUGGGGUAAAAGCCCACCAAGGCGACGAUCUGUAGCUGGUCUGAGAGGACGACCAGCCACACUGGGACUGAGACACGGCCCAGACUCCUACGGGAGGCAGCAGUGGGGAAUUUUGGACAAUGGACGCAAGUCUGAUCCAGCCAUGCCGCGUGCGGGAAGAAGGCCUUCGGGUCGUAAACCGCUUUUGUCAGGGAAGAAACGAGUUUCUCUUAUACAGAGACUUUAAUGACGGGUACCUGAAGAAUAAGCACCGGCUAACUACGU